ensembl:lincRNA
CUUUCUUAUUAAACAUGUGACUCUAGCUUUGCCACCUCUCUCUCAUUGAGUAGUCUAUUUCCCCCGUCUUGAAUCUGGGCUGGGUUUGUGACCUCUCUGAUUAAUGGAAUGUGGUGGAAGUGAUGCUGUAUGACUUCCAAACCUUUACCUGAAAAGAUCUUCUACCUUCUACCCUUGCUGCCUUGGAACCUGGGACCACCAUGCUGUGAAGACUCCAGGGACAUGAGGCCAUGUGGAGAGAGUCCCAACCAUUACAACCAUCCCAGCCAUUCAGCCUGAUCCCCCACACUGAGUCUGUUAUUGGUGUUCUUGUACUCUCCCAGGAUAGAAAUCAAGAGAGAUCACCAGCCACAGCAGCAAAGAAAAAGAGAAAGCUUCAUUUAGCUGGUGCGCAGGGAAAGGCAGCACCAUGGAAGAUACCAUGGCUUGGGUUGGUUUGUUAUGCAGCAAAAGAUAACUAUUACAAAGCACAAGAAUAUUACAGAAAAUACAGAGAAGGACUUUACCAUUUACUCAAUGAUUAUCCAGUAACAGUUGUGGAAGCAACAGCAACACUCAUUUUUACUGUUCUAUAUUCAUGUUAUUUUUAAGUCCCAAAAUAUCAUUAUUCUUAUUGGUACCAUGUUAUAUUUUCUGUAUAUUGAGAAAUCUAAAACCCAAAUUAUGUAUGCCAUGAGCCUUACCCACAGAAUCAAUGCUACAGUAAUGUUUUGAUUCCAAGAAAUUUGCCCUCAUUUUGAAAGUAUUCUGAACAUAUCAAAUAAAU